UAUUUCUUGGUGCCGGUGUUCAGUCAUGGCACUGAGGCCGCCGGGCUGAUCUCAUACGCUCCUCCCGGCUGUCUCUACCUGCAGGCUGCAGCUCGGUUUUUUUUCUUUUCCCCCUAUAUGCGCCUGUGCGCACCACGUGACCACUCAGUUGACGGAAAGAUGGAAAGUAGAAAGAGCAAGGGUGGCGCGGAGAAGGCAAGAAUUAAAAAGAGGAAAGCGCUGGAAACAGAUGCAGCUAAAUGUGCAAAAAUGAGCACCUUUUUUUCUCAAACAAGCUCGCGGUCUUUAACUUCAAAUGAAGAUAAAACGGCCCACAAGAUCCAGUAGGCCUAAUAAGCACCAGGCAGAAACCCACCAUUCCAGAGCGGACAUGUACAGUGUCAGAAGAAGAGCCAGGAGCCAGCAGUGAGGGUAUUGCUCCUGCUGGGAUAGAAGGUGAGCCAACUCAUGUGCAAACAAGCAAACAUCAGUUUCAUUAUAAUAAUUUUAAUGUCCAAAUAAUAGUAGGGACCUGAUGUAUUUUUAUUAGUAAAUGCACAAAGCCCACAACAGAUCGCUAUUAGAAUGAAAGUAAAAUUAAA